UACAGAGGUCUCAAGCGUUGUUCGGAUUCAUUGGGCGUAAAGGGUGCGUAGGUGGCGGGGUAAGUCAGGUGUGAAAUUUCGGAGCUCAACUCCGAAACUGCAUUUGAUACUGCCUUGCUUGAGGACUGGAGAGGGAGACUGGAAUUCACGGUGUAGCAGUGAAAUGCGUAGAUAUUGGGAAGAACACCAGUGGCGAAAGCGGACUUCUGGGUUGUUACUGACGCUGAGGUACGAAAGCGUGGGGAGCAAACGGGGA
rnacentral:rRNA from 1 species